GUGUUGCUCAAAGAAAAAGCUACCAACUUGUAAUGAGGAUGCAGGAGCAUGAAUUUGCAAAACUGGCCUCUCCAAGAGUCUGCACAAGAUGUAGAUGCCAGCAGUUUUCUUCUGCUGGCUGAAUGUAAAGGUGAAAACAAAUGUGACAACCUUUCACUCCCAAGGGAGAGAAGGAGAAAUUGAAGGUUUGGAUCGCAACUUCAAGAGGCUGGCAAAGAGCCAUAAACCUACACACACCAAGAGACAGGAAUGAAGUCAUAAUUUGUAAUGAUGCUGAGUACUGCAAGAUCUUCCAACCAACAGCCAAAAGAGCACACUGAAAGGAAGAGAUGGUACAGGAAUGAAUCCUCAGACGGGAACACAAACAGAAGUCGGAUUUCUAGGAGCAUAAUAAUGUUUGUCUGCUGAGGACUCAGUCCUGCCUGACCUUUCUUGUUUGUUUUUUCAUUACUUAAUUGCUUUUAUAUCAGAGAAGUCUGACACUGCUUCCUUGGGAAAGCAGGAAGAUUUAUGCUGAGAUUAUGGCAGGCAGCAGUUAUGAUUUCAUUGUAUAAUACUAAGAUUGUAAUUUUGUGUGCUUACACAGAAUGUUUAAUGAACACAUUAAGCUAGAUGCAUUUUAUUUCAGUCUGUAUAGCAGCCUAAAUGGUAAAACAGUUUGAGACACUUGUUUAUUUGGAAUUAAAGCUCAGAUUCAGUGUUUAAGCAUCUUGCUGAAUUGGGGGACCAUGGUGUGAUUUAAUGGUUCAAAUAAGAGCCUUGUUAUUGAUCCAACCUUAGCGAUCUGUAAACUCAGAAGAUUUUCUGACUGGUGGGAAAUAAUACUGUACUAGCAUGGUAACCUUUCAGACCUUUCCAACACAAAAGAAGGUAAGUUUAUUGAAGGCUAUAGAUACUAUCACAUUUUUCAUGUUCAGUCAGUUUACAUGCUGAUAAUGUGAAGGUUAUAGGGUGAAUUGUACAAUUUUUAGGGUGGAAAUUACUGUCACAGACAUAAAACGCUUCAUAACAUUUUGAUUUCUCUUAAUUUUUAUUUCCUUUCAUAUUGUUUGAAGAUAGAUUCUUCCCCUUCAAAACUGACUUGCUGCAAAAAGUAGAUGUUGAAACUGGGUUAUUUAAUUCCAAAGCUUACUAAAUAUCUAAGCUGAUGGGGCUUUGCAAAUAGUAAGACUGUAUUGCUUUAGCUACUAAUAAUGCAGCUACUAUUUGGG
rnacentral:lncRNA from 1 species